AAGGAUCAUUAAUGAGUUAGGGGGCCUAGCCCCCAGCGGUGGGUGCCUGCCGAUCAAGUCGUCUUAAAACUGGAAUGGUAACCUAGACGACUCGGAUGCCGCCCAUCGUGUAUCUCAACCCCAUGUUUACCUUACCUUUGUUGCUUUGGCGGGCCUUGAGUAGGCUAUACGGCUCAUACCAAUCCCCGGCGAUUCAUGCUGGGGGGUGGCUCGCGCCCGCCAGGGGUUCAAUCAAAUUCUGUUUAUCAGUGAAGUCCGAGUAGAUAUCAAAUAGUCAAAACUUUCAACAACGGAUCUCUUGGUUCUGGCAUCGAUGAAGAACGCAGCGAAAUGCGAUAAGUAAUGUGAAUUGCAGAAUUCAGUGAAUCAUCGAAUCUUUGAACGCACAUUGCGCCCCUCGGUAUUCCGAGGGGCAUGCCUGUUCGAGCGUCAUUACACCCCUCAAGCGUAGCUUGGUGUUGGACGUUUCGCGGGCCCUCUCUGGAGGGCCUGCGCGUCCGAAAAGCAGUGGCGGUCCCCGGGGAUUUCGCGCGUAGUAAAUAUUCUCCCGCGUUGGAAAGAACCGAUGGGCCUGGCCAAAACCCCCCAUAAAUCUCCAUGAUUGACCUCGGAUCAGGUAGAGGAUACCCGCUGAACUUAA
rnacentral:rRNA from 1 species